CGGAGACGAGCUAGCGCGUCGAAGCUACCUCUAUGGUUUUCCUCUCGUUCUCGAGUCGGGAAAUGGCCGCUGUUUAGUUACAACGGAGAUAAAUCCCGGGAACCGUGCUUCAGCGUAUUAGGUAAGCCUUGAGAUGCAUCCAGAUUACUCAAAGGCCCGUGAGUACCGAAGACCCGUUAAUACUGUUGACUCUUUUGUGGGUGGUGACGGGUCGGCGACGGCGAAAGAACACCAGAGCCGUUGCGCCGUUAUUUGUGCGUUUCCCUCCGAGCUUUUUUCUCAGGUUUUCGGGGGACCACGAGCUUUCGAAAAGGUGUGGGGGUGGGGUAGGCUGAGUGAACGGGGCGCGCGAGAGCGCGCGGCUGCGAACCUGGAUCGAGAUCCAGAGACCGCGCGGCCUUUCGUGCGCGUGCGCACACCUCUUUCAACCCUUCCCCCACUUCUUCUGGUCGGACCCCAGCGCGCGCCCGACCAGAUACUCUGCGCACGCGCGCUUCCUUUCUCGCUUCCCCGCCUACGGCGCGUGCUGCCGCGUGAGGUGCUGCUGGUGUUCGCCUCAUUGGCUGGGAGCGCUACCUUUCUUUCCGGCCUUUUCGGCUUUUACAAAAUAAACGUGACCUGCAGCAAAGUGCCCUGGGUAAGUCGACCCUUUUCGGCGUCGUCUUUAAAGUCUUUUCCUCGCUCUAGGAUAUCCGUCGAUUUAGGCCUCCUUUUUGUUAUUUUACUUGGAUUUAGGCGUCUGUUCUGCCUUUUCUAACCGACUUCGGCCUCUGCCUCUGGUCCUGGGUGUUGCUGGGAAAUUUAUUCUGUGUUAAUCUUCUGGGUCCCUCUGGCAACUCAUGCUUGUUUUGAAACGAACGCGCAGGCUUGACUCCGUAACUCUUUCCUAGCAUGGGGAUCGAGUCUUAGCCGAUGGGGCUGGGCGACUUACCUUAGCCGAAGGGUCAUUUCUGCAGAAGUGCAAGCGAAACCGAGCUGGUGAUAUAAAAGGGUGAGAGUGAUGAGUUCAGUUUGUGGAUUUAGCCCUAAUUUUGAACCCAUAAGUUGACUCGAUUUACUUUUAAGAUAUAUCUGGUCACGGUCAAGCAGCAGUACCGGCAACAACUUUUCUGUCCUUUUGUGGUGUGUGUGUGUGUGUGUAGAAUUGAAGAAAUUAAUACGAAGAUUGAAAGUGUUAUGUGGCUAAAACGGGAAAAAUGGUUGGCCACGUCAGACUUGUAUCCUAUUGCCACGGAGUCUUUAAAAUUUUUUAAAAUUAAAAACAAAAGCAAAACAAAAUAUUUUAUUCCAGUUUAAAAAUAUUUUAUUCCAGUCUAAAAGGUACGGACAGGUUAGUGUUUAGGCAAUAAACAAUACUUAUGUAGGAGAAACUAAUGAAAGUUUAUUUACAUUUUUGUCUGACCCUAUCAAAUACUGGUUAAUUUGAUGGGAAUUCUUAUGUGUUUGAAGUAGCUCAUAAUAAACAAUCUAAAGCCUAACUAAUGCUAAUUUGUAGCAUCUUUUAAGGAUUUUACCCUUUCACCAUUAUAUUGUGAACACUGGAGUCCCUCUGAAAUCAGAUAAUAAAUGGUGUCUGAAGAGACUAGUUCGAGCUGAUUCUUGACUUCCAAGAACAGUAGUAUUUUAGGACUUGAUGACAGACUUGUAAGAAAUACUUGUCACUGGUAAGCUCAGAUGUAUUGAAUUAAUUAGCUUGCAUUAUGGGGAUUGAACCCAGGGAUGCUUUACGACUGAGCUACAUCCUCAGUCCUAUCUGUUUUUUUUGAGACUAGGUCUUGCUAAGUUGCCCAGACUGGCCUCAAACUUGUUAUCCUCCUGCCUUAGCCAUCCAGAUUGUUGGGAUUACAGGCAAGUGCCAUGCCUGGCUACUUGAAUGUAUUGAACAACUUAUGUACAGGUUGCUCUAGAUUAACUGUAAUGUGAAUACUUGUAGAAAUGGAGAAAGGUUUUUUUUUUUUCUUCCCAGUUCUGCAUGGAUCUUUGGAUUGGGAGUUCCCGGAAAAUACUUUGAAAUUAUUAGUUGAACAUUAGCUGAAUUCUGCUGUGCUGAUUUUCAGUGAUAUUUAGCAAAUAAGUAGAUACCGGGUAGUGUCAGUAUUGAUGUUGUAAUUGUAGUGAGUUUCUUCAUUAGUCACAUCCAGCUUCUUAAGUAGUGAUCAGUAUUAUUUCAUAGUCCUAAGCAUUUAAUAAUUUGACUGUCUCCAAAAAACAAACAGCCCACUGACAUGAAGGUAAUAGCAAAACUAGCUUGAAUUUAUGUAAUGUUUUGAAAUUUUCAAACACUUCAGUUUUUCUUCCCAGUAUUUCUCCAUUUUCUAGAUUGAAGCCAGAAAGUUAGAAAACUAACAGCAACAUAGGCUAGGAAGUGGCAUAACCUGGUUUACAGUGCAGGUAUUCUGAUCCAUGGUUCCCAUGCUCUUUCUUUUAGCAGGGUGCAACAAGUUGGACUAAGAACUUAUAUUUUUUAUAUAUACAUACAUACAUACAUACAUACAUGUGUUGGUACUGGGGAUUGAUCUUGGUUUCUUUACCACUGAGCUACAUCACCAGCACUUUUAGUUUUUAUUUUUGAGACAGUCUUGUUAAGUUGCUAGAACCACACUUAGUUCUGAGGCCAUCCUUGAAGAGAAAAAAAUAAGAUGAAGUUAGACAACAUGGUGCCUGUAAUCCCCAGUGACUCAGGAGGCUGAGGCAGGAGGAUCACAAGUUUAAGACCAACCUCAGCAACUUAGCUUACAUAGCAGCCAUCUUAAAAUGUAAUUCUGAUGAUGGGACUCAUGAUCAACCCCUCUAGGAAUUUCCCCACUGGAGUUACAGUAAAGUCCGGGCCAAUAGAUGUUAUAUGAUCUGAUCCAGUGCUACUUCUGCCUUAUCUUGUACCCUUGGCUCCUUGAUCAGAGUAACUCAAAUGUUUUUACUGGUCUGCUGUCUAGAAUGUCUUCUGCCUAGAAUGCUCUUUGCUCCAUUGAUCUUUGCAGUAUUACAUAAAUGUUACCUCCUUAAAGAUGGCUCCAGAGUCAACUAAAUUGUUUUCCUCCUAGCAUGUUGCCUUGUGGACCCCUCCCCCUCAAUAUGCUUGUCAUUAUUUGUUGUUUUCUUAUUUGUCUUCCCCUCACUGGGCUCUCCAAGAAAGUAGAAUAUGUAAGUUCUCUUAAAAUUCUGUAUAUAAUAGGCACUUAGUAUGGUGUAUUCUGAAAGCUUAGAAUUCUUUUCAUUGGAAAGAUGGUAUUAAUACUUAGUUCACAAAAUUAUUAGGAUUAAAUGAGAUGAUUUUAUUUAUUACUUGACACAGUUUUUGGUAUGUGGCUGAUAUUUAGUUUACUAUGAUUUGUUGCUGAUACCUGUUCAUCUGUAUUUGGUUUUUGUAGUGAGGGGACCUCUUACAUAAUCAUGUCUCAUAAUACUGUACACAGACUAUCUAAAAAAUUUUUAGUUGAGGGCUGGGGCAGUAGUUCAGUGGCAGAGUGCUUUCCUAUCCCCCAAACCACAAAACAACAACAAACCAACUUUAGUUGAGUGGAUAGGUCUUUGAUGCUGACUGUUGUGUAUCACAUAUAUUGUUUGAGUUCUUGGUGUGGAUACUUGAAUAUAUUUAUGCAUUGUUAACGAGCUGGUCCAACAGCUUGUAGUCCCUCCUCUCUCUGUUUUCUAUUUGUAGAGUAUUUUUUCUUGUAAUCAAAAACAUUACAACUCAGAGUAAAAAGAAACUUGGCAGUUAAUUAUUCUGGAUAUAUAUUAAAGUUGGCCUUUUGAAAUUGUUUAGGGGGAAUUGUUAGCUAGUUGGAUCCUUGUACUGCUUCCAGCAGUGAAAUCGGUGAUACUGACUUCAAGAUCAGAAGAAAAGUUUUUUGAAUGGUAUCUUAAUUUAGAAGGUUAGCUCUUUUCUUUCCCCACUUGGGGGUUUUGAUUUUUAAACAUUAAACUUAUAUGAACUUUAGAAACCCUUUUAACUCCCUACUCAAGCCUAUUUGACUUUUCGGUUUUGCUACUUUUUAAUUUUAGUAUGGUAGUACCUUAGUUACUGUGUUCCUACUCCAUCCUAGCCUGAACCACAGAUCUCAUAUCUCCCCAGUUGUAGGGCCGUGGCUGUUUAAGGUAUACCAUUCUUGAGUUACUAGUUUAAUCUCAUUUUUCUUUGUAUUUCAAAUAUUGUUGUAUUUAAAAUUUUGAAUUGUUAAUUAAUAAGAUACAUGGAUUUUCAUUUAAAUGUAUAUUUUUUCUCCCUUAAGCUUGUUUAUUAAUUCCAGUGCUCCGCACCCCCCCCCCUUUUUUUUUUUCUUUUAUUCAGUACUGAUGCUCUACUGCUAAGCUACAUCCCCAGUCCUGUUUUUUUGGCACUGAGGAUUGAACAAACCUGGAGUGCUUUCUGUAACUCUAGACCUUUUAAUUUUUUUAUUUUGAAACAGGGUUUUGCUAAGUUGCCCAAGCUAGCCUUACCCUUGAGAUUAUGGGCAUUUGCCACCAUGCCUUGCUUUUGUUCUAUUCUGAAUUUUUGCUCCCAUAGUAUUUUUUUAAAAUAAUUCUUUUUAGUUGUAGUUGAACACAAUACCUUUCUUUUAUCUAUUUAUUUUUAUGUGGUGCUGAGGAUUGAACCCAGGGCCUCCCACGCACAAUGCGAGCACUCUACUGCUGAGCCACAACCCCAGCCCCACCCCAUAGUAUUUUUGAACCAUCCUUUGUACGCAAUUGAUAAUCACUGAAUGUUAUUCACAAAGACAACCUUUCCCAUUUUGAUAGCUGCUUAACAUUUUGAGCCAAAUUUAAAUUGAUUUACAUGGUAAUGGUUAGUUUAGGAUGAGUAUUGAUUUCCAAUAAAUACUUGUUUCAUUGCUGAUUGUUACUUGUACACAUGUGAAAGUACUUUUAGAUACACAGUUUAGAGAUCACUCUGAUGGAAAUCAGUUUUAGAUGAAAACGAAAGGAAGUGCCAAGACAAUACAUAGCAGAGCAUUAAACUCAUUGUAGAUGUUGUAAGCAUUGUGAAUAUUAAAUACAGAUUACUUGAUGUUUUCAUAUUCUAAGAUAACAAUGUUAAUUACUUUGGAAUUUUAUGAUAGGGAGAUAGCAUAUCUUCUUUUUCUAAGUCAAAUUACUAAAAUUAGAAUUCAAGUAUUAAAAAGUUAAGUUGCUGUCAGUUCAAUGAUAAACUGCUGCAUUGUGAUUUUCAAAAAAAAAAAAAUUGAGUUACACGUUUUUUAUGGUUUAAAAUUUAAUGUUUCCUAAAUCAGUCUCCCCUUCUUUGAAAUCACAAGUGCCUUUAUUAGCAUAUUGCAGUACCCCUCCGUAUUAUAAAUAGUGAAUAUUUAAUUUACCAUAACUCAUGCAUUUUUUUUAUUUGCUAGGAGUUUGAAUUUAGAGUUUAAUUUCUCAGAAACGUCUCUUCAGGAAGAACUUUACAGAAUCUCAAAACCCCACGUAAGUAGCAUUCAUUUUUCUGUUUUCAGUUUACACUUGUUUCAUUAAAUGUGACAGCUGAGCUGAUGAUUCAGAUGGAAUGAUUAAAAACCAUGUAGCCUGAAGCUUUUUUUUUUUUCUUUUUUCUCCUUUUGGGUGGCUUGUAUGAAGUUAGAUUUUAAGUUAAUCCUAAAAAAAAAAUACUUCUUGAUCAAAAUGAUUGAACCCAGGUUGUUUUUCAAAUGUUGCUGAGGCUGGCCUCAGACUUUCAAUCUUUCUGCCAUCUUGAGUCGCUGGGAUUACUAGGUUGUAUAUUUGCUUCUUCCACUUCUAUAAAAACCUCUUCUAAACAAUACACAGCAUAGAAAGUUAAAAUCAAAGCAAGACAAAAAGACCCUGCUGUUUUAACCCAUCUUCCCCAAUGAAAACAAGAGGAGUUCCAUAACUUAACCCUUACUAAAUACCAAAAGUGUUUUA
rnacentral:lncRNA from 1 species